GUGAAUCAUCAAAUUUUUGAACGCAAAUUGCACUUUCUGGGAAGCCGGAAAGUAUGCGUGUGUGAGGGUCAGUUAAAUAGAAAUCGGUGUUGUUGCGGGCUGUCGUGGGGACGAGUCGGAAUUGGGUCGUCUUACCUUGGGUUAAGGGAAUUAAAAUUUUUGCAUGAGGUUCGAACGUAGUUAAAUAGCUUACGUACGUUAGAGAUAUCGAAUGAUUAUUAGGUUCGGGCAUUCCCAUGAAUCGCGCCUAUAAUUUUUCAUUAAAUGACAUCAAAUCAGGUAAGAG
rnacentral:misc_RNA from 1 species